UUUUCCAUCUAAGCUCUUUUCUUUAUCUGGUGGUGAUGGGCACUAUCAGGACAGGACUGUAUUCCUAACAGCCCAAUGCCAUCUUAUUUCAACGUGACUGGU